rnacentral:rRNA from 1 species
UGGGGAAUCUUGGACAAUGGGGGCAACCCUGAUCCAGCCAUGCCGCGUGAGUGAUGAAGGCCUUAGGGUCGUAAAGCUCUUUCGCCUGUGAAGAUAAUGACGGUAGCAGGUAAAGAAACCCCCGGCUAACUCCGUGCCAGCAGCCGCGGUAAUACGAAGGGGGGUUAGCGUUGUUCGGAAUUACUGGGCGUAAAGCGCACGUAGGCGGACCAGAAAGUUGGGGGUGAAAUCCCGGGGGCUCAACCCCGGAACUGCCUCCAAAACUAUUGGUCUAGAGUUCGAGAGAGGUGAGUGGAAUUCCGAGUGUAGAGGUGAAAUUCGUAGAUAUUCGGAGGAACACCAGUGGCGAAGGCGGCUCACUGGCUCGAUACUGACGCUGAGGUGCGAAAGCGUGGGGAAGCAAACAGGAUUAGAUACCCUGGUAGUCCACACCGUAAAACGAUGAAUGCCAGUCGUCGGGUAGCAUGCUAUUCGGUGACACACCUAACGGAUUAAGCAUUCCGCCUGGGGAGUACGGUC